CAAACACCCAGUUAUGGAAAUGCAACGCAGGUCUUUGAUUUUAGUUGUGGUGCUACUAAUUGGCUUUGCAUUGACAAAUAGCGAAGCUGCUCUUACAGUUCCACCCAUUCAUAUUGACACUCCCUUCAACAGGAGCAGUUUUCCACCAGGUUUCAUAUUUGGCUCAGCUUCAGGAUCUUACCAGUAUGAAGGUGCUGCAAGUGAAGGUGGUAGAGGACCAAGCAUAUGGGAUACCUACACCCACAAUCAUUCAGAAAGAAUUGCUGAUCGCAGUAACGGAGACAUCGCUCUUGAUCAAUAUCACAAGUAUAAGGAAGAUGUGGGUAUUAUGAAAGAUAUGGGGUUAGACGCUUAUAGAUUCUCUAUCUCGUGGUCCAGAUUGUUACCAAGUGGAAAGUUAAGUGACGGUGUGAACGAGGAUGGAAUCACAUACUACAACAAUCUAAUCAAUGAACUCCUUCGAAAUGGUGAAUCAUCCCACAUUACCUGCACUCAUAAAAAUUAUUAUUCAAUCAAAUUUUAUUCCUCAAACUUUAGAAGACGAAUAUGGUGGUUUUUUAAGCCCUCGUGUUGUCAAUCAUUUUCAAGACUAUGCAGAACUAUGUUAUAAGAAAUUUGGUGAUCGAGUAAAGUAUUGGACCACGUUGAAUGAGCCAUAUACCUAUAGUAGCAAUGGUUAUGCAUCUGGCUCUAUGGCACCAGGACGAUGCUCUACUUGGCAAAAAUUAAAUUGCACAGGCGGAAAUUCAGCUAUUGAACCAUAUCUGGUGACACACCACCUCCUCCUUGCUCAUGCGGCUGCUGCAAAUUUGUAUAAGAAUAAAUUUCAGGCAUCUCAAAAAGGUGUGAUAGGACUUACGCUUGUGUCACCCUGGUUUGUGCCUCUUUCUGAGGCAAAUGAAGAUCAAAAGGCUGCAUUACGAGCUUUGGACUUUACUUUUGGAUGGUUUAUGGAGCCAUUAACAAGUGGUAACUAUCCGCACAUCAUGCAGUCUCUUGUUCAAGGGCGAUUACCAAAAUUCACAGAAGAACAAUCCAAGUUACUAAUUGGGUCAUUUGAUUUUCUUGGACUAAAUUACUAUAAUGGUUUCUAUGCAAGUGAUGCAUCUCAUAAUAUUUCUGUACAUGCAAGCUACAUAACAGAUACUCGUGUGAAUCUUACAUCUGAGCGCAAUGGAGUCCCCAUUGGUGUAAAGAGUGCUUCAGAUUGGCUAAAUGUUUACCCAAUAGGAAUUCAAGAUUUUUUACUCUACACAAAGGAAAAGUACAAUGAUCCAAUCAUUUACAUUACCGAGAAUGGCAUUGAUGAGUUGAAUGAUCCAAAAUUAUCACUCAAGGAAGCCCUUUAUGAUACCAAGAGAGUUGACUACCACAUGCUUCACCUCUUUUAUGUUCAAAGUGCAAUCAAAAAUGGUGUCAAAGUUAAGGGAUACUUUCUAUGGUCAUUGCUAGACAACUUUGAAUGGAAUGUUGGAUACACUGUUCGAUUUGGUAUCAAUUUUGUGGAUUAUAAUAAUAGGUUGAAAAGACUCCCAAAACUCUCAGCACACUGGUUCAAAAGUUUUCUCAAGAAGUAUUGA